AUCCUGAGUAUAGUGGCGCACGGGUGAGUAACACGUAGGCAAUUUGCCUUUAGGACGGGGACAACUCCGCGAAAGCGGAGCUAAUACCCGAUAAUGCAGCGGCAUCGCAUGAUGAUGUUGUUAAAGGCCCGCAAGGGCGCCUAUUGAUGAGCCUGCGUCCCAUUAGGUAGUUGGUGAGGUAACGGCCCACCAAGCCUGCGAUGGGUAGCUGGUCUGAGAGGAUGAUCAGCCACACUGGAACUGAGACACGGUCCAGACUCCUACGGGAGGCAGCAGUGAGGAAUAUUGCGCAAUGGCCGAAAGGCUGACGCAGCGACGCCGCGUGAAGGAUGAAGUCCGUUAGGAUGUAAACUUCUUUUGUAGGGGAUGAAUGUGUCCUUUUAGGGCAUUGACCGUACCCUGCGAAUAAGGAUCGGCUAACUACGUGCCAGCAGCCGCGGUAAUACGUAGGAUCCGAGCGUUGUCCGGAAUUACUGGGUGUAAAGGGCGUGUAGGUGGAUUCCUAAGUCGGUGGUGAAAUCUUGCAGCUCAACUGCAAAACUGCCGUCGAUACUGGGGAUCUUGAGUACGGCAGAGGGAGAUGGAAUUCAUGGUGUAGCGGUGAAAUGUGUAGAUAUCAUGAAGAACACCGGUAGCGAAGGCGGUCUCCUGGUCCGUAACUGACACUGAGGCGCGAAAGCGUGGGGAGCAAACAGGAUUAGAUACCCCGGUAGUCCACGCCUUAAACGAUGGGUACUCGGUGC
rnacentral:rRNA from 1 species